rnacentral:rRNA from 1 species
UACGUAGGUGGCAGGCGUUGUCCGGAUUUACUGGGCGUAAAGGGCGUGCAGGCGGUUUGUUAAGUGCAGAGUGAAAGCUCCCGGCUCAACUGGGAGAGGUCUUUGCAUACUGGCAAACUCGAGGGAGGCAGAGGAAAGUGGAAUUCCCGGUGUAGUGGUGAUAUGCGUAGAUAUCGGGAGGAACACCUGUGGCGAAGGCGGCUUUCUGGGCCUUACCUGACGCUGAGACGCGAAAGCGUGGGGAGCAAACAGG